rnacentral:rRNA from 1 species
GAUGAACGCUGGCGGCGUGCCUAAUACAUGCAAGUCUAGCGAACGGACGAGAAGCUUGCUUCUCUGAUGUUAGCGGCGGACGGGUGAGUAACACGUGGAUAACCUACCUAUAAGACUGGGAUAACUUCGGGAAACCGGAGCUAAUACCGGAUAAUAUUUUGAACCGCAUGGUUCAAAAGUGAAAGACGGUCUUGCUGUCACUUAUAGAUGGAUCCGCGCUGCAUUAGCUAUUUGGUAAGGUAACGGCUUACCAAGGCAACGAUGCAUAGCCGACCUGAGAGGGUGAUCGGCCACACUGGAACUGAAACACGGUCCAGACUCCUACGGGAGGCAGCAGUAGGGAAUCUUCCGCAAUGGGCGAAAGCCUGACGGAGCAACGCCGCGUGAGUGAUGAAGGUCUUCGGAUCGUAAAACUCUGUUAUUAGGGAAGAACAUAUGUGUAAGUAACUGUGCACAUCUUGACGGUACCUAAUCAGAAAGCCACGGCUAACUACGUG